GACUUGGAGGUUGUGCCCUUGAGGCGUGGCUUCCGGAGCUAACGCGUUAAGUCGACCGCCUGGGGAGUACGGCCGCAAGGUUAAAACUCAAAUGAAUUGACGGGGGCCCGCACAAGCGGUGGAGCAUGUGGUUUAAUUCGAUGCAACGCGAAGAACCUUACCUGGUCUUGACAUCCACGGAAGUUUUCAGAGAUGAGAAUGUGCCUUCGGGAACCGUGAGACAGGUGCUGCAUGGCUGUCGUCAGCUCGUGUUGUGAAAUGUUGGGUUAAGUCCCGCAACGAGCGCAACCCUUAUCCUUUGUUGCCAGCGGUCCGGCCGGGAACUCAAAGGAGACUGCCAGUGAUAAACUGGAGGAAGGUGGGGAUGACGUCAAGUCAUCAUGGCCCUUACGACCAGGGCUACACACGUGCUACAAUGGCGCAUACAAAGAGAAGCGACCUCGCGAGAGCAAGCGGACCUCAUAAAGUGCGUCGUAGUCCGGAUUGGAGUCUGCAACUCGACUCCAUGAAGUCGGAAUCGCUAGUAAUCGUGGAUCAGAAUGCCACGGUGAAUACGUUCCCGGGCCUUGUACACACCGCCCGUCACACCAUGGGAGUGGGUUGCAAAAGAAGUAGGUAGCUUAACCUUCGGGAGGGCGCUUACCACUUUGUGAUUCAUGACUGGGGUGAAGUCGUAACAAGGUAACCGUAGGGGAACCUGCGGUUG
rnacentral:rRNA from 1 species